rfam:Setaria italica strain Yugu1 chromosome VIII, whole genome shotgun sequence.
GAUUUUAGCCUAGCUUCAUUGAGAAAAUUUUAAUCGGCUCCCAUUCACCGUGAGGGAAAGGUGAAAAGAACCCCCAGUGGGUAGUGAAAUAGAACAUGAAACUGUGCUGAGCUCCCAAGCAGUGGGAGGGAAAAGUGAUCUCUGACCGCGUGCGUGUUGAAGAAUGAGCCGGCGACUCAUAGGCAAUGGCUUGGUUAAGGGAAUGGAACCCACUGAAGCUGUAUUGAAAGCGAGUCUUCAUAGGGUGAUUGUCACUGCUUAUGGACCCAAACCUAGGUGAUCUAUCCCUGACUAGGAUGAAGCUUGGAUGAAACUAAGCAGAGGUCCGAAUUGACUGAUGUUGAAGAAUCAGCGGAUGAGUUGUGGUUAGGGGUGAAAUGCUACUCGAACCCAGAGCUAGCUGGUUCUCCCCGAAAUGCGUUGAGGCGCAGCAGUUGACUGGACAUCUAGGGGUAAAGCACUGUUUCGGUGCGGGCUGCGCAAGCGGUACGAAAUUGAGGCAAACUCUGAAUACUAGAUAUGACCCAAAAAUAACAGGGGUCAAGGUCGGUCAAUGAGAUGAUGGGGGAUAAGCUUCAUCGUCGAGAGGGAAACAGCCUAGAUCACCAGCUAAGGCCCCUAAAUGACCACUCAGUGAGAAAGGAGGUGGAGGUGCAAAGACAGACAGGAGGUUUGCCUAGAAGCAACCACCCUUUAAAGCAUGCGUAAUAGCUCACUGAUUGAGCGCCCUUGCGCUGAAGAUGAAUGGGGCUAAGGGAUCUGUCGAAGCUGUGGGAUGUCAAAAUGCAUCAAUAGGGGAGCGUUCCACCUUAGAUGGAAGCAAACACGAAAGCGGGGGUUGACGAAAUGGAAGAGAGAAUGUCGGCUUGAGUAACGAAAACAAUGGUGAGAAUCCAAUGCCCUGAAAAUCCAAGGUUUCCUCCACAAGGUUUGUCCACAGAGGGUGAGUCAGGGCCUAAGAUCUGGCCGAAAGGCGUAGUCGAUGGACAACAGGUCAAUAUUCCUGUACUACCCCUUGUUUCUAUGGAGGGAUGGAGGAGGCUAGGUUAGCCGAAACAUGGUUAUAGGUUUAAGGACACAACGUGACCCUACUUUUUCAGGGUAAGAAGGGGUUGAGAAAAUGCUUUGAGCCGAGGUCCGAGUACCAAGCGCUGCAGCGCUGAAGUAUGAGCCCUGUGGACUAGCCAUUGCUUCUCUACGAGGCUCAUACCAGGCGCUACGGCGCUGAAGUAUGUAGCCCAUGCCAUACUCCAAGGAAAAACUCAAACGACCUUCAACAAAAGGGUACCUAUACCCGAAAUCGACACAGGUGGGUAGGUAGAGAAUACCUAGGGGUGCGAGACAACUCUCUCUAAGGAAUUCGGCAAAAUGGCCCCGUAACUUCGGGAGAAGGGGUGCCCCCUCGCAAAAGGAGGUCGCAGUGACCAGGCCCGGGCAACUGUUUACCAAAAACACAGGUCUCCGCAAAGUCGUAAGACCAUGUAUGGGAGCUGAUGCCUGCCCAAUGCUGGAAGGUCAAGGAAGUUGGUGAACUAAUGACAGGGAAGCCGGCGGCCAAAGCCCUGGGGAACGGCGGUCGUAACUAUAACGGUCCUCAGGUAGCGAAAUUCCUUGUCAGGUAAGUUCCGACCUGCAUGAAUGGCAUAACGAUCUGGGCACUGUCUCGGAGAGAGGCUCAGUGAAAUAG